rnacentral:lncRNA from 1 species
GUUGAGAAGAAAGUGCCGGUGAACAUUUGUUUUCUCAAAUUCAAAAAUAAGUGAGAUGGAAAGAAACAAUAAGCACAGUGAACUCACUCAGAAGCUGCUCUCUCUUGGAACCAUAAAAUGAUUUUAUGGCCUGUAUGAUCUUGGUAUGAGAUAGCUCAUUAUGACAUAAUUUCAUAGAUGCAACACGGAAUAACGACAUGGUUGCUGUGAAACGGUUCCCCUAUAACUGGGAUAUUAAUCCUAUUCCCACAGUACAAGGAUUAUGAAGACAGUUUCUUGCAUGUCUCUUUCUUCUUGAAACACAGAGGCACAGUGCUCUUGCAGGAGGCCAGUGGAGCUGUCCCAAUUGCCUAUGGUGCUGAAGAGAUUCAGGAAGGCAUAUCUGUUGUUAACAUAUUUUCUAAAAACUGUGAUGCCUCUUUGUUAAAUAAGGAUCCAUCAAAUCCAAAGUUAUUACCUCUUCUACCACAAUUAAAUUCGUGUUUCAUUCUGAAGUGGUA